AGUGAACGCUGGCGGCGUGCCUAAUACAUGCAAGUCGAACGAAGUGGCGCACGGGUGAGUAAUAUAUAGCUAAUCUGCCCUACACAGAGGAACAACAGUUGGAAACGGCUGCUAAUACCACAUAGUGUAGGAUGAGACUAUAUUAUAUCAGCUAGUUGGUAAGGGAAUGGCUUACCAAGGCUAUGACGCGUAACUGGUCUGAGAGGAUGAUCAGUCACAUUGGAACUGAGACACGGUCCAAACUCCUACGGGAGGGAGCAAUAAGGAAUAUUGCGCAGUGGGGGAAACCCUGACGCAGCAACGCCGCGUGAGGGAUGACACUUUUCGGAGCGUAAACUCCUUUUAUCAGGAAAGCGGUACCUGAUGAAUAGGCACCGGCUAACUCCGUGCCAGCGCCCGCGGUAAAC
rnacentral:rRNA from 1 species